rnacentral:rRNA from 1 species
CCUACGGGAGGCAGCAGUUAGGAAUCUUGCGCAAUGGGCGAAAGCCUGACGCAGCGACGCCGCGUGCGGGAUGACGGCCUUCGGGUUGUAAACCGCUUUCAGCAGGGACGAUUAUGACGGUACCUGCAGAAGAAGCCCCGGCCAACUACGUGCCAGCAGCCGCGGUAAUACGUAGGGGGCAAGCGUUGUCCGGAUUUAUUGGGCGUAAAGAGCUCGUAGGCGGUUUGGUAAGUCGGGUGUGAAAUCUCCACGCUCAACGUGGAGGGGCCACUCGAUACUGCCAUGACUCGAGUCCGGUAGAGGAGUGUGGAAUUCCCGGUGUAGCGGUGAAAUGCGCAGAUAUCGGGAGGAACACCCGUAGCGAAGGCGGCACUCUGGGCCGGAACUGACGCUGAGGAGCGAAAGCGUGGGGAGCAAACAGGAUUAGAUACCCUGGUAGUCCACGCCGUAAACGUUGGGCACUAGGUGUGGGGAUCUAUCGACGGUUUCCGUGCCGAAGCUAACGCAUUAAGUGCCCCGCCUGGGGAGUACGGCCGCAAGGCUAAAACUCAAAUGAAUUGACGGCUGAACGACGCGACGACGCACACGGGAGGAGUAG